rnacentral:rRNA from 1 species
GACGUAGGGGGCGAGCGUUGUCCGGAUUUAUUGGGCGUAAAGAGCGCGUAGGCGGUUUGUCGCGUCGGCCGUGAAAACUUGGGGCUUAACCCCAAGCCUGCGGUCGAUACGGGCAGACUUGAGUUCGGCAGGGGAGACUGGAAUUCCUGGUGUAGCGGUGAAAUGCGCAGAUAUCAGGAGGAACACCGGUGGCGAAGGCGGGUCUCUGGGCCGAUACUGACGCUGAGGAGCGAAAGCGUGGGGAGCGAACAGG